rnacentral:rRNA from 1 species
GAUGAACGCUGGCGGCGUGCCUAAUACAUGCAAGUCGAGCGAAUGGAUUAAGAGCUUGCUCUUAUGAAGUUAGCGGCGGACGGGUGAGUAACACGUGGGUAACCUGCCCAUAAGACUGGGAUAACUCCGGGAAACCGGGGCUAAUACCGGAUAACAUUUUGAACCGCAUGGUUCGAAAUUGAAAGGCGGCUUCGGCUGUCACUUAUGGAUGGACCCGCGUCGCAUUAGCUAGUUGGUGAGGUAACGGCUCACCAAGGCAACGAUGCGGAGCCGACCUGGGAGGGUGAUCGGCCACACUGGGACUGGGACACGGCCCAGACGCCUACGGGAGGCAGCGGUAGGGAAUCUUCCGCAAUGGACGAAAGUCUGACGGGGCAACGCCGCGUGAGUGAUGAAGGCUUUCGGAUCGUAAAACUCUGUUGUUAGGGAAGAACAAGUGCUAGUUGAAUAAGCUGGCACCUUGACGGUACCUAACCAGAAAGCCACGGCUAACUACGUGCCAGCAGCCGCCGUAA